rnacentral:rRNA from 1 species
AACGAACGCUGGCGGCAUGCCUAACACAUGCAAGUCGAACGAGACCUUCGGGUCUAGGGGCGCACGGGUGCGUACCGCGUGGGAACCUGCCCUUAGGUUCGGAAUAACUCCCCGAAAGGGGUGCUCAUACCGGUUAAUGUCUUCGGACCAAAGAUUUAUCGCCUUUGGAUGGGCCCGCGUUGGAUUCGCUAGUUGGUAGGGUAAAAGCCUACCAAGGCGACGAUCCAUAGCUGGUCUGAGAGGAUGAUCAGCCACACUGGGACUGAGACACGGCCCAGACUCCUACGGGAGGCAGCAGUGGGGAAUAUUGGACAAUGGGCGAAAGCCUGAUCCAGCAAUGCCGCGUGAGUGAUGAAGGCCUUAGGGUUGUAAAGCUCUUUUACCCGGGAUGAUAAUGACAGUACCGGGAGAAUAAGCUCCGGCUAACUCCGUG